AGCGAACGCUGGCGGCAGGCUUAACACAUGCAAGUCGAGCGGGCAUCCUUGUGGUGUCAGCGGCAGACGGGUGAGUAACGCGUGGGAACGUGCCCUUCGGUUCGGAAUAACUCAGGGAAACUUGAGCUAAUACCGGAUACGUGCGAGAGCAGAAAGGUUUAUCUGCCGAAGGAUCGGCCCGCGUCUGAUUAGCUAGUUGGUGAGGUUACGGCUCACCAAGGCGACGAUCAGUAGCUGGUCUGAGAGGAUGCUCAGCCACACUGGGACUGAGACACGGCCCAGACUCCUACGGGAGGCAGCAGUGGGGAAUAUUGGACAAUGGGGGCAACCCUGAUCCAGCCAUGCCGCGUGAGUGAUUACGGCCUUAGGGUUGUAAAGCUCUUUUCUCCGGGACGAUAAUGACGGUACCGGAAGAAUAAGCCCCGGCUAACUUCGUG
rnacentral:rRNA from 1 species